CCUACGGGAGGCAGCAGUGAGGAAUAUUGGUCAAUGGACGAGAGUCUGAACCAGCCAAGUAGCGUGAAGGAUGACUGCCCUAUGGGUUGUAAACUUCUUUUAUAUGGGAAUAAAAUGUUCCACGUGUGGGAUUUUGUAUGUACCAUAUGAAUACGGAUCGGCUAACGUCGUGCUAGCAGCCGCGGUAAUACGGAGGAUACGAGCGUUAUCCGGGUUUAUUGGGUUUAAAGGGAGCGUAGGUGGAGUGGUAAGUCAGUUGUGAAAGUUUGGGGCUCAACCGUAAGAUUGCAGUUGAAACUGGCAGUCUUGAGUACAGUAGAGGUGAGCGGAAUUCGUGGUGUAGCGGUGAAAUGCGUAGAUAUCACGAAGAACUCCGAUGGCGAAGGCAGCUCACUGGACUGCAACUGACACUGAGGCUCGAAAGUGUGGGUAUCAAACAGGAUUAGAUACCCUGGUAGUC
rnacentral:rRNA from 1 species